CAGUCGACGGCAGCAUAGGAGCUUGCUCCUGAUGGCGAGUGGCGAACGGGUGAGUAAUAUAUCGGAACGUGCCCUAGAGUGGGGGAUAACUAGUCGAAAGACUAGCUAAUACCGCAUACGAUCUACGGAUGAAAGUGGGGGAUCGCAAGACCUCAUGCUCCUGGAGCGGCCGAUAUCUGAUUAGCUAGUUGGUGGGGUAAAAGCCUACCAAGGCAACGAUCAGUAGCUGGUCUGAGAGGACGACCAGCCACACUGGGACUGAGACACGGCCCAGACUCCUACGGGAGGCAGCAGUGGGGAAUUUUGGACAAUGGGGGCAACCCUGAUCCAGCAAUGCCGCGUGAGUGAAGAAGGCCUUCGGGUUGUAAAGCUCUUUUGUCAGGGAAGAAACGGUAGUAGCGAAUAACUAUUACUAAUGACGGUACCUGAAGAAUAAGCACCGGCUAACUACGUGCCAGCAGCCGCGGUAAUACGUAGGGUGCAAGCGUUAAUCGGAAUUACUGGGCGUAAAGCGUGCGCAGGCGGUUGUGUAAGUCAGAUGUGAAAUCCCCGGGCUCAACCUGGGAAUUGCAUUUGAGACUGCACGGCUAGAGUGUGUCAGAGGGGGGUAGAAUUCCACGUGUAGCAGUGAAAUGCGUAGAUAUGUGGAGGAAUACCGAUGGCGAAGGCAGCCCCCUGGGAUAACACUGACGCUCAUGCACGAAAGCGUGGGGAGCAAA
rnacentral:rRNA from 1 species